rnacentral:rRNA from 1 species
GACGAACGCUGGCGGCGUGCCUCAUACAUGCAAGUAGGACGCAGUUGCGAACGGGUGAGUAACGCGUAGGUAACUGCCUAUUAUAGGGGGAUAACUAUUGGAAACGAUAGCUAAUACCGCAUACUAGUAGAUGGACCUUCGUUGUAUUAGCUAGUAGGUAGGGUAAUGGCCUACCUAGGCGACGAUACAUAGCCGACCUGAGAGGGUGAUCGGCCACACUGGGACUGAGACACGGCCCAGAAGCCUACGGGAGGCAGCAGUAGGGAAUAGUCGGAAAUGGGGGGAAGCCUGACCGAGCAACGCCGCGUGAGUGAAGAAGGUUUUCGGAUCGUAAAGCUCUGUUGUUAAGGAAGCGGUACUUAACCAGAAAGGGACGGCUAACUACGUGCCAGCCGCCGCGGUAAUAC